rnacentral:ncRNA from 1 species
GUGUUGUAUGAAAGGAGAGAAGGUUAGCACUCCCCUUGACAAGGAUGGAAGAGGCCCUCGGGCCUGACAACACGCAUACGGUUAAGGAAAAAAAAAAUGAUAAGCAACUUCA